rnacentral:lncRNA from 1 species
AUCCUAUCAGUCCUAUGAGUCAGCCAUAUACAGCAUGGAACAGGGCUCCACAAGGACAUGAAUACCAGGUGGCAGGGAUCACUGGGCCAUCUCUCUAAAUCACGAAUGAAACAUUUGCAACCUGUGUCUCCCAAACAUGAUAUGUCUCAAUCAUCAAAGGAGGCAUUGUAAUAUGGCACAUGACCAAGAAAGCACCCUCAGCCUGUUUCUUCAGGAGUGUCAGAGUUCUCAGGACAUCACGGGGAAGCACAGGAUCUACAGUGACUACAAUAACCAAGUGCUACAAAAACGCUGUGACGAGGAAUCUGAACAACAGAGAUUUGAGGGAAACAAAACACUUUCGACGAAGGUCCUGCUGCUUGUCUUCAGCUUGGUACCAAUUAGAGCUUCACUGGAGGUGAAAAGGGCAGACACGGUUGCUGAGUGGCUGGUUGGAGAGUCCCUGAGAGAUUACCCAAGAAACUCAGUUGCGGCACGUGGUGGAGCAGCCUCUCAGGUGAAAAUAAAUUCACACUGCACGUGGAUAUCUGCCUGGGAGUACUUGUCAUUCACUGCAUAGUUCAUCUCUAUGAAGAACCUGCGUAUUUCUUUGUCAAAUGAGAAACUGCAAAAUGGCAAGUGUUAUACUUUGUACAGACCAGCCCUGAGUUUUCUAAACCUGUUGUAAAGGUGGAGUCUGUAGAUGGUGGCGAGAAACUGUUUUGGCCUUUUAGGACAUCACAUUUUUCAGCUGUAGUCAAAGUUCAUCUGAAGUGGCUCCUGUUACUCCAGACCAAUUUUUAAUUGAUAUGCUCAGUCUAUUUUCUC